rnacentral:lncRNA from 1 species
UAUGUGAAGUUUUGGUUAGCUCUGAUUGUACUGGUACUCCACCUUCAAAGGUGGGAAGGAGAAACUAUUGUAAGAGAGAUUUCAUUUUUGAAGUCCCAUCAAGCCAGGGUUAAUCAUCUCCCAAAGCAGAAAAUGUCUUUACCUGUAGGAGUGACCACCAAGUGGUAGGACUCCCAAAGGAGAGAGUGCUUCAGCUUUCCAGCCAACAGAAAUGGGUGAGUAUCUAUCUGUCUAUGGCUUUUUCCCUUCCCGCCAAGAUAUCCAAAAAGAUACAUUCAGAGGUUCUCCCAAUUUUAAUUUUGUCAAAGGUCCUCCAAUCAAGUUUCCUAUGGGACUUUUAAAUUAGCGGUCAUUGUAUAAACUAUUUUAAUGGAUUGAUUGAUUUGUAGCCAUUUUAACUUUAAAAAAGAAACGUAACUUUGUAGUUAGAUUUAUGACCCAUGUCUUUACAGGAAGACUUGCUUGCCUGGAAGUGCCUGGUCAUCAAUGCAGUAUUUCAUAGACGCUUGACUUUCCCAUGAUCUUUUUCAAAGACUCAGAGAGGUAUCCACUUGAGAAUAUGCAACCUUUUUUCUUUUCCCAAUUUCUAACUUUUGUAGUUCUUCCAUGUCCAUUCCCACCACAUUCAUUACCUCAUCAGUGUUCACUAUGCCUCUCAGCAGUAAGGAAAAGACUCAUGCUAAAAAUCCUCUGGGCAUGUGUUUUCUGAAAGUGAAUUUGUCAUUGGAAAAUCAAAUAUAAUGAUGUUCCACCUAGAAAACAGUUACUAGAUCAUAGGGUGGUAUCUCUAUAAAUGUUUAGGACAAGGUUAUAUCCUACAGCUACACACUACAGCAGCAUUGUUCAUUUUAUUCCUCUCUGGAUCAUAAGUUUUUCAUAUGUCAGAGGCAAUCUACCUAGCCUUUUAUUCUAUCAAUAUAUAUAGGUAUGGACAAGGAUAAAGACUCCCACAUACUUCUUCAAAGGUGACAUAUAUAAACAUAGAAAAAUAUCAUGUAUAGUUUCCAUGCCUCCAAGAAAUAUGAGUGGAUCAAAUGCUUCUCUGAGGUCAUUUAUAUUCAUGAUAUGCAAAUAGUAGUAAAAUUCACAUUGUAACCAAACACACCAGGAGAGAAAUUAGCUAACUUCAGUGUUAUUCAAUGUUAUUGAGUCAAUUUUGACAAUUAAAGCACAGCCAACCCUACUGAUUUUCUGAUUGCAAAGACAGAUCUACCUAGCCAAAUCCGAGAGUGUAGAGGGGAAUUCAUGUGCUAGAAUGAUUAUACAGCUCUCUUACUGGAAACUCUUUAUUUGCUUAGAAGGAUCUGGCUCAGAGAUUUUUCGAAGACAUUCUCCUACAUUCUCAAGUUGAAAUAACCUACAUUUAAUUUGCAGAAUUUUUUAUUGGACCUCUUGAAGCCACACGGUUGGGCAAUAGAUAAAUUCUCCAAAGAGAUCUUUCCUUAAACUCUGAUCCUAUAUUUGCAAUGAACCAUCCUCCAAUAUGAAGGUCCCUUUCUUUCCAAGUGGAAGGAACAAUUCUAUUCAAUAACCAAAUAUGUAACCACUUUUCAAAAUAUUUCACCCCCAAAAUAGACUAAAUUAUAUAAAUAUUUAAGAUAAAGCUGUUACGGCCCACAUGUCCAGUUUUGAGAAAAAUAAUUAUCUUACCUUCUUAUACUUGACAUUAAAAUUUGAAAAAUACUCCAAGGAAGAAAUCUUGAAGGAUUUGCCAUUUUUAUGAUGCUCAUAUAAUUGAAGAAUAUGGCUAAAAUAAUGACCUGGGUGAGAAUUAUCUAUGUGGUUGGCAAGAACAUAUUUUAAAAUGAGAGAAUGAGCCAAAAGAAAAUGUGUUAAGAUUUCACCCGAAACUACCCUUGUCUAAGAUAUUUGAAAGUCAUUAUCCUUAAGGAAGAUAGAUUCCCAGUUUUCAGAAAACAACAGUAAAAUUAAAACUUGUAUUCUCAGUUUUUAUAUGAGAAUCAAAGCUGGGAAUACACAAAUUUUGGCUUUGGCAACCAAAAAAUAUGCUUCUGGAACAUUUUUCUGUAUUAUUCUAUUCUUUUGCUGUAUACACUGGACUUGUACAAAUAUCCUAUAAAAAUGCUUUUGAUAAUUUCCUCAUUUUUUAUUGUUGUGAACUUUCUAAAUUUCACAACAUAGUAACUUGAUAACUUCAUUUAUAAAAGGCUCAUUUCACUUUGAUGUUAUUCACACUUCAUAAUUAAUUUGAAUAUUUAAAAUAAUUAAUACUUCAGAUGGGAUAUUGAGCUUGAGUCUAGCCUAAGUAAACAAGUCCAGACAGACCUAUCAGUAGCUAAAAGGCUUCUGAAAUACUGGCCUUUUCAUGCACAGCAAAUAAAAACAUUGUUUUCAAUCUUCUUUUUCAUCAAAAGUUGCCAUUUCAACCAAUGCAAAAACAAAAAGAUUUGAAAUGCUAGUUUGAAGAUUAUUUCUGUGAGAAUCAGACAUGGUUUCAGCAGAAAAUCUCCUCUAUUCCAUCUCUUCCUAGAGCUUAAAUAUACAUAAAUACAAAAAUAGAUGAUGUAUGCCAAAGAACUCAAAUUGCAUUUUCAGAUGUCUAGGAUUACCCUAAAAGCCCAUGUCAGGUUAGUGUUCCUUUUUAUCAGAUCUCUUUCAUACGUGGAAAAAUGGGAGAGAGAUGUGGAAGGAAGCAGAUUUCAGAUUUUUUUUUCCUUUUUAGCUAAAGAUGCAAAUUCAAAGUUGUGUAAAACCUGCUUAGAAUACUGUUAAUUAAAUCUAUUCUUCAAAAAAAUAAGUAGAUUUUAAGAAGACAGAAAUUCAUUUUUCUUCCCUCAGUCGGCAAGCAUUUCUAAUAGAAAUUUCUUGGAUCAAUUAGGGCUCCUUUCUGACUUUCUGAAUUACCCUCUGUUUUGGGCCAUGGGGGCGGCGGAGGGUGGGGAGUGGGCACAUUGAAAACAGCUCUUGAAAAAUAACCCUUCUCUAGGUCAAAUAUUGUGGUAUUAAAAGGCUGAAAUUUUGUAUUUUUCCCUGGAAACAUAGCAGUGAGCCAACAAGCCCUCAUACAUUCAUCAUUAUUUUCUAGAAGUGUGUUUUGGCACGUUGGGAUAAAAAGAAUGGGAUGCCCACCUAAUUCUGCCCCUAAUACCUAAUCAUCUACCACCAUGUAGAUUCUCCAUUAGCUGUAGUUUAGCUUAGAUAUUCUCAACUUAACCAAGCCUCAACUCUCAUGUAUACUGGUUGUCUUAUCCCUAGUUUUGCAAACUAGCCCUUUCAACCAGUUGGUGCAUGAGAUAUCUCCAAGGGGAAGGAUGAGGAGCGGGUAGAAAGUGGGAUGUAACUUUCAUGCCAAGUCACUGGAACCUAUUUAACCAACUGUUUUACUAUAUAUUGGACUCCAUUUGGGACAAUUCUAUUGAAAAUACUAGAAGGACUUUAUUGGUAUUUCAUCAACUAAACUUUUGUGGUACUGGAUCUAAGCAAAGGAUAGCAUCAUGCAAAAAAAUUAAAGUUAUUUUUAUUAGCUACACUGUUGCUACAACUUGGAAGAAUUUCAGUCUAAAAUAAGAACAGUGUUUUGCUGCCAUCACUAAUCCUAUAGGAAAUUUGACAGGCUGAAUCUUCUUUGAGACAGAUGAUGCUAUGGUGAAUGUAUACAUGAGGCUUAAAAUAAUCUUGAUAGUUCUCAGGUUAUUCUCCCAGAUUCUGCAUAGAUUUACUUUCUUAAAACAAAUGAGUCUAUUUCUCAUCAAAAUGGUUUCGGAAUUUUCCCAGUAAGCAUCCAAAGAACCUAUGAGUUUUAGAUUGCAUCAGUGGCUCUGCUUCAGUGUCCACUUUUCUGAUUUCUGACCCUUAAUCCCUGUGCACAUCUUUCAGGAACAACUGCAGAUGGUGAGAGAAAGCCAAAUGGAAGGGCUGUAUUCCCUUUCAAAAGACUAAAUUGACUUUUUACUUUUAAAAAUGACUGUUUCAAAUUUUUAAUUUUAAGGACAAACCCAAGAGAGACGCUUUUAAAUGCCAGAUCUGAAGCAGAUAUUGCAUUUUUGCAAAACUACCAGGAAAAUUUGUCAAUGAUGGAGACAUGGGAUUUACCAACAUCAGUGCCGAAUCACUGCUCUCCCCCAUGCCAUCAUAGAGUAUCAACAAGUGAACAAGAAGUCAGUCAGGAGAGACAGAUCACUAUUAGUUUCAUAAUCACGUCACCAUCAAAUGCUAGAUGGGGUCAGGAAGUAGGCAAAAUAGAUGGGAUCAAUUCUAAUCCUCAUCACCUUGCUCCCCUGCAUGAUGGCUAUGGUCUAUGAGCAUGAGAACAAUGCCAGAAAUACAUUUUUCACUUGAUGUGAAUAUUACCUCCAGAGAUUCUUUUCUGCUCUGAGCUGCAUAUUGCGUUUGACUCAAACAUUUCCAAACAGAGUCAUGCAACUCCAUCACAUACUUGUUGCCUGCUUGGAGAAUUAAUCCUCUUUGCAAACUGGUUGCCAUGGAACCAGUUUUUAAAAACACUGAGAAAGCAACAUAGCUAAGUGAUGAGGAGGAUCCAGUGAUAACUAGUCUAAACUUGUAUUUUUUUUUUCUUUCCAGCCAAUGCACUGACUCUUCAACUCAAAAAAAAAAAAAAUCAUUAUUUCAUUAGUAAAAUGAAAAUAGUAAUUGCAUUGUUAUUGUUUAAAAUUAAUUGAUAAUCUCUUCAGAGUUUGAAGCUUCCACUAACUAAAAAUGAGAUCCAUGGGUAACAUAUGAUUUUACCCAAAGCUGGGGUUUGUUUUGUGAAGAAACCAGAACUGGUUUGGGUCUCUUUAGAGCAAUACACGAGAUAUUUAACAACAUUUGAAAAUAAUGAGGAAGGUUCAGCACAGGCUGCUAGGUUAUAGAGGUGGGCAAGGCUUCUGACAGGCUCUAAAAGUUUUGCUCCUCCAUGGAAGAUUUUAUCUGUCAUGGUUCCCAGUGGAAUAUUUCCCCACACUCCUUCAGUAGGAGACUGACAUGGCUCCAGAAUCUGCCUUUCAUUUUCUAAUUCUCCCAGGAGAAACAGGCAUUCCAGAGGUUGUAAUAUAAAAGAAAAACGGGGGGAAAAAAUAACAGGAGCCUCAUUGGUUGAUCCAGAAAUUUUGUGUAGCACAGACCAUUCUAAUUGUCUCCAUAUUACUAUUACUAAAUGGCUUUUUUAAAGUGACUGCAACACACCUAGGAAAAAGAUUUGAGGAGCUAUUUCUAACCCUUAAUCAAAAGUCAGAAAUUACUUUGAUGACAGGAUCUUAAAGUUGCUUCAUCUUCCUGCUUAGUCCUCGCAAAUCAAUAGGGAUUGAGCAAUGCAGAAAGUGUUUGGACAGUACUCAUGAAUUAGAAUUCAGAUCUGGGUACUGGAGCUAAAUAAAUAUCAACUGGCAAAUUACCUGAGGAAAAAGAAUCAGAAAGAAGUUAAACCCAAAAGGGCACAGUUUAACAAAUCUGUCCUCCAAGAUCAUUGACUUAUUUUAUGUUCAGUUAAAACUUUUUAAAAAACAUAUACAUAUAACCAAGGUAAUGGAGUCAUGUUUAAAUCAAAUGUCAGUCUAUCACAUUUUUUAAAUCAUACAAUCCCAUAAACUUUAAGCAUUUAUUUUGGGCAGAGUAUUAUAGGCACCCAAAGAUAAUAUGAAGAAUUCAAGACAAGGUAAUUUCAAGAAAAUUAACACUAGCCCUGAAUUUAGUCAGGAAGAGUCCAGUUGUGACACUUUAAUUAAAUUAACCUUCCAUUUUUGGUCUAGAGAUAUUUUGUCAAUUUGAGACUGCUUAAUGGGGUCAGGCUGAAACAUAUCAAGGAAUCUUCCUUAAAUAGAAAUAGAACCAUUCAUUUUCCUAACUUCACAUUCUGUCUUUCACCAAUGAGAUAAAUGAAUUUAGACAUAUCCAAUGUCUGCCAUGCACCAAAGUCUAUAGGAGAGUGACAUCCAGUCUUAUUUCAACAUUUCAAGUUGGGGAAAAACUUGUUCUGAAGAUCAUUGGCCUCCUCGUUACUGCAUUUUUUUUUUCCUACCACGUGUUGAUAUUAAUUCAUCACUGGUUUUCUUUGUCUGCUGCUCUUUUGACUUUGAGGUAUCUGGCUGUAUCUCAGGGAGUCCCAACUCCAGCUGUCACCUUUUAACAGCCAAGUAGAGAAGACCUUAGUCCCUAUGUCUGAGGACACAAUGUCCUCUUCAUUCCAACAUCAAACAGUCCCCAGGGAGGAGGCCCCAAAGGCUUUCCUCUUUUGAAAAUUAGAAUUUGUUUGAGGAUUAUGAAUCUUGAGCUCUCUAAGACUUGAAUUUCCUCAUCAUUAAAUGGAGGACUUCAUCUUUCACUUGGUUUUCCAGAACAUACCAAGCCCUAUAUGAUCCAUGGUUCCUGUUAUCAACCCAGUGGGUAUGGGUUGAAGGUGCUUUAGGUUGUGAACCAGUUGGUCCUCAUAAAAUGCCUUGUGGUACUUGAUUACCAGUGUAAAUGUCAAGCCAAGAAAAUCAUAUUAAGUCUGAUAGGCAUUUACGCACUACUGAAAAAAUUUCCCUUCCCUAAGGAGAGUAAAAAAUGUCUCCCUUUGCAGUAUGCCAACAACAGAACAUUUAAAGAGUUGGGAGUGCAUUCCACAUCAGUGACUUUCCUAAGGUUGAAUCUGUGGUUCUUCUAAAUGUAAACUGUGACUUCACACAGUUUCCCACAGUAAUUCUACUUUUUCAUUUUUUUGUACUUAAUUACAACUGACUGACAGCAGUGAUUUCAUACUAAAGUGUGUACAUACAAACAGGAUGCACAUUGACCAGGAGAAAGAUGUUAAAAGAUAGAGUAUUCUAAAGGAAGAUGAAAAAAGGAUUGCAUUUGCUAUGGAUUCAAAUGUCGUUUAAACACCUCUCUUGUUAUGGAGAAAAUGAAUCCUGAAAAACAUUUUACAAAAAGAUUUCAAUCCCAUCCCUAGCAAUCAUCUGGUUUGCCACAGCCCAAAUGUCUCAUUAGCAAUCUGAAAUUGCACACGGUUGGAGAAAAUAUAGCAAGAGGAUAUAGACACUG